rnacentral:rRNA from 1 species
GACGAACGCUGGCGGCGUGCUUAACACAUGCAAGUCGAACGGAAAGGCCCUGCUUUUGUGGGGUGCUCGAGUGGCGAACGGGUGAGUAACACGUGAGUAACCUGCCCUUGACUUUGGGAUAACUUCAGGAAACUGGGGCUAAUACCGGAUAGGAGCUCCUGCUGCAUGGUGGGGGUUGGAAAGUUUCGGCGGUUGGGGAUGGACUCGCGGCUUAUCAGCUUGUUGGUGGGGUAGUGGCUUACCAAGGCUUUGACGGGUAGCCGGCCUGAGAGGGUGACCGGCCCCCUUGGGACUUGGGUUCGGGCCCGACUCCUUCGGGGGGCAGCAGGGGGGAAUAUUUGACCAUUGGCGGAAGCCUGAUGCCGCAACCCCGGGGGCGGGAUGACGGCCUUCGGGUUGUAAACCGCUUUCGCCUGUGACGAAGCGUGAGUGACGGUAAUGGGUAAAGAAGCACCGGCUAACUACGUG